GAUGAAGAACGUAGCGAAAUGCGAUAAGUAAUGCGAAUUGCAGAAUCCGUGAGUCAUCGAAUCUUUGAACGCACAUUGCGCCCUCUGGUAUUCCGGAGGGCAUGCCUGUUCGAGCGUCAUUAUCACCCCUCAAGCCCGGCUUGUUGUUGGAUGCAGCGCUUAUCCCGCUCCUCCCAAAGAUAAUGACGGCGUCUGCGACGACUCCUGUACACUGAGCUUUCGGGCACGUACACGGCUAGAAGUCCAGACCCGGUCGCCGCCCCCCCCGCGGGGACACCCAUUACCACAAGGUUGACCUCGGAUCAGGUAGGAAUACCCGCUGAACUUAAGCAUAUCAAUAAGCGGAGGA
rnacentral:misc_RNA from 1 species